CUUAGGGGGUUGUCACACCGGCUAGCUCUUGUCCUUGAAGCUAGGUAGCCCCAACACUACCACCAAGACAAUCAGAGGAGGUUCAGCUUUACUUUACAACAAAAAGCCCGUUCAUAAGAAAACCAACAGGGAAGGAAGACGAUUUUUGGCUAGGUAUCAGGAGUCCUCCAGGCUGAAGAGCGCGGAGCUCAUCCCCCCUUCCCUCCCCUCGGGUUCACACACAAGUAGCGCAGCAGCGAAGGGGGACG